rnacentral:lncRNA from 1 species
AUUUAUAUGUACGGAGGUUGACAUUUUAUCACACAAACAGAGUACCUCGUUUGAACUGAAUUCAAAAUUUUAGAUCUUCCCAGAUUCAUGGAAGCGUUAGAAAUGAAAUCCUAUCUGCUUGAAGAAUCAUUGCUGCCCACUUUUUCACCAUCACACAGCCAUAAAGGGGCUUCCACAAAGCGGAGAGGGGAACCACGAUCUCAAGGGACUGCAAUUCCUAAGAGCAGGCGGCACCAUAGAGGCUUCGAGGGGGGAAGAACAUAGUCGCAUUACAUCUAUAAAGAAAGCAAGGACGGCCAGAUUGGGGAGGAAGAAGGGUUUUAGACAGCCAGAUUCACGCACAGCAGCACCGCCCCACACCCUCAUCUCCACCCACUGGCUUCAGACACCGACGCACUACCAUCUUCUCUAACACUGUAACCAACCACCACUUCACGUUCUCUCCGGCAGCACCAUCUCCACGCCGUAACCUG